rnacentral:lncRNA from 1 species
AGGGUCGUUGAACAGCUGCUCUGCAAGCUCCCACCCUGUGGAGUGUACUUUGAUCUUCAAUAAAUCUUUGCUUUCAUUGCUUCAUUCUUUCAUUGCUUUGCUGUGCAUUCUGUCCAAUUCUUUGUUCAAAAUGCCAAGAACCUGGACAAUUUGCAGUCAAGACCCUCCACCGGGAUAUGAACUUCCAAUUAUAUCAUUGGACUUGACUACUCCAUUUCUUUCCACAUUUAAAAAUCAAUCAGGGAGAAGCUAUUUUGAGAACUUAACACAGUAUUUAACAUGGGAUUUCUGAAUGAAGACAGUUUAUGGAUGAAUAAGGCAAAGGAGUUACUGAAUGUCUGGACUUCAGCGAAUUAAGACACUGAGACUUUCUCGCUAUUGAAGCUACCUUGAAACAAUAAACACUAAAUACCUAGUUGGUUUGCCAAAAGCAUAAAAUGUUACUUUUCGUAUUUGAUUUUCUUUCCCAAAUCUAUAAUAUAAUCCAGAAUUUGUACACAUAUUUUUUUCCUGAUAAUUAAACGUGUAGACAAUGGGAA